CCCUUUCCAAAGCAGAUAAAGGAGAUGGGAUAUACAAAAAGUGGACUUAUGCUCUGCCCCACAGUUUUGUGCAAGAGGACAAAGUAGAUGAUUGUGACUGGCCUAUGACCAGUCACCAACCUAUGACCUUGCUUAACAAGAGAUAUCUUUCUCUCUGGCUCUGCCCCAUAAUAUGAAACUGAAAUGGCUGCUCAAAAUUAAUAUCUGGCAAAUACAGAGCCAAUGUGCAGCUAUAUUGCUUUGGAGAGCAUGGAAGCUGCCAGCAGAGAGCCAGCCUGAGAGGGUCAAGUCCUACCCUCUGUCUGCCCAUCAAAAGGAGUGGAAUUACUGUAUUGCUGAGCUAUGGGGGAGUCAGGAGAAGCCUCAGCUAAUCUUAUGCCUCUGGCUGCAUCCUGAUCUCUGCAGAUGAAGGCUAUAAAUACGUACUUUAAUUCUGUGGCUGCCAAGGUGCUUCUCUCCAAGCAGCAGACUACUGGUUGCAAGAUACCUGAUGCCACUGAUGAUCUAGAAGGAGCUGAUGUGGUGCAGCAAAUUUAAAUUCUUUUUCUUUUCUUCUGGUACACCACAAUUCUGUUUCUAAUGGUUAACCCUUUAGGCUGACUCCUUGGAGUAACAUUACUAGGACAAAUGGGAUUUAAUCCUUUUUUUUCUCUGAGGCUGUAUCAGAGUACAUAAAAAUUGUUGCCCACUGUUUGUACUAUUUUCAUCACUAUCUAAGAGACAGGCUGAGCACUCCCAUGUGUUUCUUUAAGGAACUUUGUGGUGGGCCAUUGAAAUCACUCAUGCCUCCUCCAGUUUAUGAUAGAGCAGCAAGAAGGGUUUGAGGGAAGAUAGUGAUUCCAAAACAUUACCUCCAUCAUCUGUGCUCUGAGAAGGAGGGCAGUGAGAUGCAAUUCACAUCAGAUUUUCCUAGUGAUCCUUCCUCCCUUAACCUUCUCAACACUGUAGGGCUGCAUUUUAAUGAUUUUUUUUCGUUUUGUUUUACUAUUCAAAUUUUCAUCUCCAUGAACUUGAAAGAAAUGCUAUGGAUCAUAUGGGCUUUCCUUUUAAAUGCAAGGUGUUCAAUAUAUUCUUAAAUCUGUUUUCAGUGGUCCUCAAUUACUCUUCAUUUUCAUCUGGAAAAACUAGCCACAAAUGAGAUUUCUUAGAGGUGAUCCCUAUCUGAAGGAUUACUGGGCAAGUAGUGAUAAAUACAUAAGGAUCUAGAAAUGGUAGAAUUCUAGUUGAUGUGAUUUGCAGACCAUCUUGCCCAAUAAAAGUGCUCAGCAGAAAAUCUAUCAGUAGAAUUGUUCUGUUUCAGCUGGUAGAAAGACCAUUUUCUUCUGAGUAGCUGGUACAGUGCUGUGUUUGGGAUUUAGUAUGAAAACAAUGUUGACAACACACUGAUGUUUUAGUUGCUAAGUGGUGCUUACCCUAAAUCAAAGACUUUUCAGUUUCCUACGCCCAGUUUUCCAUUCCCAGUGAGCAGGUGCACAAGAAAGUGGGAGGGAGCAUGGCCAGGACAGUUGAAAGGAACUGGCCAAAGGAAUAUUCUAUACUAUAUAUAGAAUAUAUAUUCUGUUCUAGAGUAUCAUGCCCAGAUUAUAAACUAGGAAGAUUGGCUGGGAAUCACCGAUCAGUGCUCAGGAAAAGUCUAGCCCUCAGUCAGUGGGAGGUACCCUAAGGAAAGUUGUUUUGAACUGAUGCAUGAGAUGAAAAUUCUGUUUGCAUCUGGGCAUCACAGUCACCAUUUUUCUCACCCUUUGUUAUGUAGACACUCAAAUUCUCCCAUCAAGACAGAACAACGUGCAGAGUGGUGGAAAAGAUUUUUUUUUAAAAGGGAGAAAAAGGAAAAAUUUUAAAAAGCUUUAAAGGGAGAAUAUGCUUACUAUAAUAAAACAUAUACUGCGAUCCAAAAAAGGCCUUUUAAUUAAAACCUGAAAUAUGUA